rnacentral:rRNA from 1 species
UGGGGAAUAUUGGGCAAUGGGCGCAAGCCUGACCCAGCAACGCCGCGUGAGGGAAGAAGGCCUUCGGGUUGUAAACCUCUGUCCUUGGGGACGAAUUCUGACGGUACCCAAGGAGGAAGCUCCGGCUAACUACGUGCCAGCAGCCGCGGUAAUACGUAGGGAGCGAGCGUUGUCCGGAAUUACUGGGCGUAAAGGGUGCGUAGGCGGCUUAGCAAGUCAGAUGUGAAAUCCCCGGGCUUAACUCGGGAGGUGCAUUUGAAACUGCUUGGCUUGAGUGCAGGAGAGGAAAGCGGAAUUCCUAGUGUAGCGGUGAAAUGCGUAGAUAUUAGGAAGAACACCAGUGGCGAAGGCGGCUUUCUGGACUGUAACUGACGCUGAGGCACGAAAGCGUGGGGAGCAAACAG